UAGGGAAUCUUCGGCAAUGGGGGCAACCCUGACCGAGCAACGCCGCGUGAGUGAAGAAGGUUUUCGGAUCGUAAAGCUCUGUUGUAAGUCAAGAACGGGUGUGAGAGUGGAAAGUUCACACUGUGACGGUAGCUUACCAGAAAGGGACGGCUAACUACGUGCCAGCAGCCGCGGUAAUACGUAGGUCCCGAGCGUUGUCCGGAUUUAUUGGGCGUAAAGCGAGCGCAGGCGGUUUGAUAAGUCUGAAGUUAAAGGCUGUGGCUCAACCAUAGUUCGCUUUGGAAACUGUCAAACUUGAGAGCAGAAGGGGAGAGUGGAAUUCCAUGUGUAGCGGUGAAAUGCGUAGAUAUAUGGAGGAACACCGGUGGCGAAAGCGGCUCUCUGGUCUGUAACUGACGCUGAGGCUCGAAAGCGUGGGGAGCGAACAGG
rnacentral:rRNA from 1 species